rnacentral:rRNA from 1 species
AGUGAACGCUGGCGGUAGGCCUAACACAUGCAAGUCGAACGGCAGCACAGUAAGAGCUUGCUCUUACGGGUGGCGAGUGGCGGACGGGUGAGGAAUACAUCGGAAUCUACUUUUUCGUGGGGGAUAACGUAGGGAAACUUACGCUAAUACCGCAUACGACCUACGGGUGAAAGCAGGGGAUCUUCGGACCUUGCGCGAUUGAAUGAGCCGAUGUCGGAUUAGCUAGUUGGCGGGGUAAAGGCGCACCAAGGCGACGAUCCGUAGCUGGUCUGAGAGGAUGAUCAGCCACACUGGAACUGAGACACGGUCCAGACUCCUACGGGAGGCAGCAGUGGGGAAUAUUGGACAAAGGGCGCAAGCCUGAUCCAGCCAUACCGCGUGGGUGAAGAAGGCCUUCGGGUUGUAAAGCCCUUUUGUUGGGAAAGAAAAGCAGCAGGUUAAUACCCCGCUGUUCUGACGGUACCCAAAGAAUAAGCACCGGCUAACUUCGUG